rnacentral:rRNA from 1 species
ACGUCAAAUCAUCAUGCCCCUUAUGUCCUGGGCUACACACGUACUACAAUGGCUGCUACAAAGGGAAGCGAUACCGCGAGGUGGAGCAAAUCCCCAAAAGCAGUCCCAGUUCGGAUUGCAGGCUGAAACUCGCCUGCAUGAAGUCGGAAUUGCUAGUAAUGGCAGGUCAGCAUACUGCCGUGAAUACGUUCCCGGGCCUU